rnacentral:ncRNA from 1 species
CAACAGCUUUGGUCCUGAGCUAACCGUUGUUUUUUAUCAAGUUUAUACAUGCAAGUUUCAACAUACCAGUGAAAAUGCCCAUAAUACCUAAAAAGAAAGAUGGGGCAGAUAUCAGGCACUACCUUGUUAAGCCCACGACGUCUUGCUAUGCCACACCCCCACGGGUAAUCAGCAGUAAUAAAUAUUGAACCAUAAGUGAAAACUUGAUUCAACUAUGAUACUAUCAAGGGCUGGUUAAUUUCGUGCCAGCCACCGCGGUUAUACGAAAAGCCCAAAACAACGACUAAUGGCGUAAAAUGUGACUAGAGACCUGUCUAUUUAAAAACAUUAAAACCUGCAACCCAGCUGUAAAAUACUAAGAGGGGUAGAGGAAUACCAAUACAAUUGUUUUAAUAAAACACUCUUGAACCCACGAAAGCUUAGAAACAAACUAGGAUUAGAUACCCUACUAUGCUAAGCACUGAACAAUGAGUAAAUACAUACAAAACACUCCGCCAGAGAACUACAAAUGAAAAAUUUUAAACUCAAAGGACUUGACGGUGUCCUAUACCAACCUAGAGGAGCCUGUCCUAUAAUCGAUAGUCCCCGAUAUACCCAACCUUAGCUAGCAUCUCUCAGCCUAUAUACCGCCGUCGACAGCCUACCCCGUGAGGGGUAAAUAGUAGACACAAUAGCUCAACCACUAAUACGUCAGGUCAAGGUGUAGCACAUGUUAAGGAAGAGAUUGGCUACAUUUUUUAUCAUAAAAAAUACGGAAAGUAUUAUGAAACAAUACAUGAAGGUGAAUUUAGUAGUAAAUUAAAUUAGAGUAUUUAAUUUAACACUGCUCUGGGACGCGUACACACCGCCCGUCACCCUCCUCAACAUUAACAACCCCUAUAUAUAAACAAUUAAACAAAACAGAGGAGGAAAGUCGUAACAUGGUAAGCGUACCGGAAGGUGUGCUUGGAAUAA